rnacentral:rRNA from 1 species
AACGAACGCUGGCGGCAUGCCUAACACAUGCAAGUCGAACGAUGCCUCCGGGCAUAGUGGCGCACGGGUGCGUAACGCGUGGGAAUCUGCCCUUGGGUUCGGAAUAACUCGCCGAAAGGCGAGCUAAUACCGGAUGAUGACGUAAGUCCAAAGAUUUAUCGCCCAAGGAUGAGCCCGCGUAGGAUUAGCUAGUUGGUGGGGUAAAGGCCCACCAAGGCGACUAUCCUUAGCUGGUCUGAGAGGAUGAUCAGCCACACUGGGACUGAGACACGGCCCAGACUCCUACGGGAGGCAGCAGUGGGGAAUAUUGGACAAUGGGCGAAAGCCUGAUCCAGCAAUGCCGCGUGAGUGAUGAAGGCCUUAGGGUUGUAAAGCUCUUUUACCCGGGAUGAUAAUGACAGUACCGGGAGAAUAAGCUCCGGCUAACUCCGUG